GCUUUGCUUGCGUAAGAAAAACAAAACCUAGGCAGCAACGGCAGCAGCAUUGGCGACGACGACUACUAGAUAUUUACAUAACAUUUGCAACAUUACUGUAGUUACCGCCGAUCCCUGCUCCUGUAUUACCGCAGUGAUUGCAGGAUUCUUUCACCUUGCUUCGAAUACGCCGUUAGCUGGGAGGCCCUGCAACACGACUGCGUGGUUUUCCUGUAGCUUUUGCGCUUUUUAUAACUGUGCAAUUCUAGUGCAACUGAUUGUAUGGAAAACUAGCACAGAAAAGUGGCGUAUGAACAAGAAGACGAUAACGUGCCUAUACACAGCAGUUGAAACAGAAGGAACUCACCUCGUUCAACGUGGGUGUUCCUGCAGCAGGCUUCUUAAGAAGGCGUUACCUUAAAGCCAUUGCGAAUUACAUUGAACUACGACUUUUCUAUUCAUCCUAUAUAUAGAUAUAGUUGGAAGUAACACAGGGAUUCUGGCGUGUGACUAUAAUUGUGCCUUCUAUACUCAAACCGUGUCGUUCUUCUAUCUACCUAAGAUAUAGCAGAAGUCAAUUUCCGAACUCAUCUUGUUUAACGCCGUCCACGCGGUGCUCAUUAUUUUCCGAAGAGCAAGAAAUACACUGCCAUGUCCUUCGAUAGUACAUCAGUCGGGAUCCAGCCGUUGGCGUUUUUGAAAGAGCACCAGAUGGCCUCACGCGUCCACAACAGCAAACAACAAUUAUCCAGCAGACGUUUAUUGCUACAGAAACCCUUGACAUGCAACAACUCAUCUAGCACGCCAUGCAAAAACGCGUGCUGUACGAUGUGCUCGACGACGCCUCAGGUCAUUUCGAAGCCUACAUACAUUGCGCCUGAUUGUGCAGCGUCCGGUGAUUCGAUGUACUCGCUUAACUCGGUACCGUCCUGCUGCGGUCCGUCUCCACGACGUAUGGAGUCGUGGCUGAAGCGACAUGCGAGGAAAGUCCGAAGGAUGUACAAGAAGACUGGAGCCGGUAUGGCAAAACGGAAACCGCUUUCCCUUUUAGUUUUCAGUCUUUCAACAUCCGGACCCAGGGCGCGUACUGUGAGUCUACGGUCUACUAGUGAAAACGCCACGAUUAGCGCGAAUUCGCAACCACGUGUAGGGGCGGGGUGCUGCCUAGAGGCUGAUCGGCAGCAACAGCAGGGGCCGCGCCAAAAGGAGUCGCGGUGUGAUAGUGUGAACAUGUGCUCCAUCCACUCAGGAGAACAGAACAUAUCUUUCAUCUCACUCCUUCCAAAUGUCAGCGAGCCGGAAAAGAAGCUCGCUGGGGCCUGGUCUACAGGGGGUUGUGCAGCCUCUUCAGAAAUGCGGUCGAAAGCGUACAAAAUCUGUCGGGAGUUCCUUUCGGGAAGUUGGAAAUCGAUCUCCUCAAACGAUAUGAUCUUCAAAACUGUUGGUGGCGGCCUAUCAAAUCUCCUCUACUAUUGUUCGCUGCCGGAGACUCACACCCCCCUGUGCGGGGAACCAUCUCAGGUGCUAAUGCGAAUGUAUGGUCAGAUACAUGGCGACCAAGACACGUCAACAAUUACCGAAUCUAUCAUUUGCACGUUGCUUGCCGAACGGGCUCUUGGACCAAAACUCUAUGGCGUGUUCCCUGGUGGACGACUCGAAGAGUACAUUCCGGCUCAGGCACUGAUUACGGAGCAGAUCAGACAGCCGGACAUCUCGCGGUCGAUAUCUCGUAAGUUAGCGCGCUUACAUGCUCUUCAGGCCCCGCUGACCAAAGAGCCAACGUGGCUCUUCGAUAACGUUGAAAAGUGGCUAGAGGUGCGUAAAGCAAUCUCAGUGGACAACAUCCGAAAGGAGGUCUUACCGUACGCCAAAAUGCUUAUGGAGUUCGACUACCGCCAGGAGAUGGCCUGGUUACGCGAGGUGUUUAAGAAAGCUCAAUCGCCUAUCAUGUUCUGCCAUAACGAUCUUCAAGAAGGCAAUAUCCUUCAUAUGCAAGCGAACGAUGAAAGUUCGCUUGAUGAGAAUCUUGUGUUCAUAGAUUUUGAGUAUUGCGCGUAUAAUUAUCGCGGGUUCGACAUUGCCAAUCACUUCUGCGAGUGGGCUUAUGACUACAGUUAUCCGGAAUACCCGCUGUUCAAAGAAACUAUCGAGAACUAUCCUAGCGAGGAUCAAAGGCGUGCUUUCCUGGAGGAAUAUCUGGCUGCACUCAAAAGUACAUCAGUUCACCGAGACAUUGAUCCAAAAGUAAACACGGUUGAACAUCUCCUAAUGGAGGCUGAGACCUUCACAAUGGCGUCUCACAUUUUCUGGAGUUUGUGGGCCCUUAAUUCAGCACAUUCGUCAAAGAUCAACUUUGGGUAUUGGGAGUACGGUGCUGCCCGCCUGACUCGGUACCUUGAACUAAAAGAUCGUUUGAGAGAGUACUUUGAACUCGGCAAUUAAGAUUAUCCGCACAUAAUUGUUCGAACUGCUACAUACCAACAUCGAGCGUCGCAGCCCAAGGGCAACAAGCAUUAGGUUUACCGAAGAGCCUGGCGGAUAAAUUUAAGCGUCGAGUCAGUAAGCAAAGAAUUUACCCUUAGCUAAGUUGGAUCGCUAGCAUGGACGUACUGUGCAACCCUCUAGCCUUUGUUUAGCAAGACUUGCGUGUAGUGGAAACUGGUCCUGUUGUCCGUGGCAGAACACUUUUGGGUACGAAAACCUGCAUACUCGAGCGUCAAACGACGUCCGGAAUAGGGUUGUAAGGUCAAUUUAGAUAAUAAAGAGGGCAACGUUAGAUGAUACGAUGAAAGGUCCGCCUUGUAUGAGGCAUGGUGCGUGCAGAAAUUAUUGCCGGGGCAUGCGUUUCAUACGCAGCUUAAAGCAUUGAUCUCUGCGGGGACGAUGACUUCAGUCAUCGGAUCAACUAACAUUGUAAUGGUCAGUGGAAACACCAUAUGCAAGAUUUCUCGGGUGAAUUCUCAACGUAAAGAAGGAAGUAGUCUGUCGUGCGCAGAUCGCAUGUAGAUAAAAUGAAAUCCUCGAGGCAAACCAUCACUGAACUGUUCUAUCCAUGGUUGUAUUUGCUUACCCGACUGGGCCGGUUAAGAAAGUUAAUGAAGGUGGCGAAGCAACAACCCGAUAGUAGCGUGUAUCCGGUAAGGGCAGGCACUAAGAAACAAAAGUAGAUAUCUACCAUAGGAGAAUGUAAGGGGACGGUUCAAACAUGAGAAAAUACACGGCAGACAAAGCGUAUAUAUUUUAUUUUAUAUGACAUUUAGAUGCAAUACUCCGAAAGCGUCAUGACUGAACAUGAUCGACCUACCGUUCUCCUUGUUUGCCAGAAGCGAUAUUGUCUGAAUAGUCGGUUUUGUGUCCUUCGAAUUAUACGCCCCUGGACCCGGCGUUGUAACGAUUUGUGUUACGUGGUGUUUUACUGAAUAUUUUUACGACAGAAAUAUGCAUCCUUGUUCAUUACGAUUACAUCAAUAUGAGGUGCCGCAGAAACUAUUUCCAAAAACUUUUUCUAUAUAAUCAUCAAUGGUUACAAGUUCGGAUCAGCCGUUAUCCUAGUGUGCUUCUCUGGUUUAUGUACUGAGUAAUCAAGACCAACCCCAUCUGCUGAGUAAGUCAAGUAACUGUGAUUAUUUGGGAUAAUUAAUGAAUCAUCCGACAUUGUUUUGAUCCUAAAAUGUUAAGUGACUCGACGUUACACCUUAAGCCUGAGAUACUUGAUGAGCGGUAACCCUGAAGCGGUCUUAACCACGCAUAGCAAAGAUGAGAUCAUAUUUUCGUGAUAAAAAUUUCUUAAUCAUCUGGUUCACUGAGUUCGAUAAUAACACCAAGUUUUUCAAACUGGUAACUAUAGUAUGUCAAACGAUACACCUGCAAUAUUAUACUACGGGAAACAUAUUAUUAAUAGCAUGAAUCGAGCAAAGAAAAACAUUAUAACAAUAGAUUUUGUUGAUUCCCUAAUACCAAAGUGAACUUUUGCGUUUAUAUAAUUAGCACUGAACGUAAAAAUGACUUGGCAACUACAUAUAUAUAUACUGCUAUUAGUUGCCAUCUUUUUACGUUCAGUGUUGUAUCUGGUGACCUGUCCUAAGGACUUCGUGGCAAUGGUGUAUGAUACGAAUUAGUGAGGAAAUAUCUGCAAACAAGGGAAUGAGAUGGAGCGACAGACGUGUUAAAUUUAAAGAAAGUUAGUGGGACGCUUCAUCCUUGACGUACCCAUAUACAAAACUUCUGGCGCAGCAAACGCAAAGACUAGCUACAGGUAAAUAAAAGUCAGAUUGUUAUCGAGCUCGUUCGUGCCUACAGGCAGAAACGAAAGGGACGGCCAUUGAGCAUUCGUGAUUUGGUCGACUUGAUUGUUACAAUGUUUGAGCGCACCGCAGUGUACCACAAAAUUUGUUUCCCGGGUGCAAUCGUUGCCCCGACGACUACACUUUCCUUGGACCACCACAUGUCAGUAAAGAUCACGUACAAAAUUAAUGAAACACACAAAUGAUGUACUUCUGGUAGCUGCUCUGUGCGAGUAUCUCAUGCCAUACACAUUUACAAAAUAGUUUAAGUCUAUUCAAAGUUUAUUUAAAUUUACCAAACCAAUACGGGAAAUCAAAUAUAUAAUUAAAGAGCUGUCUUGUAGCAAGAAUGAAAAAAAAUAUAAAAUAAUCAACAAGAGUAACGAAGUUAACUCAUCAAAUAUAACAUUUUUAAGUUGAUCAAUAACGUAUUACAUUUUUAAAUUCAAGAUCCAUGUUUAUCUAUUUUAUUUCAAUUUCAGAAAUUUUUUUCGUAUCUUCGACAACUCUUAAGGGUCAAAAAGAUCUUCAGGUCGCGAAUAGCCGAUCACAGCAGCACCAGCAUGUAUGCAGUAUCCCUGUGGAAUUUCCGGUGUACCGAAGCUUAAAGACCAGUUUUAUCUCGUUCACAGGCAAUAUUGAAUAAAGGAUUGAGAUACAAAGGCAAAAUUACUGGAAAAAAUUAGCAUUCCUUUUAUGGUACCUUGCUGAGAGUGUACGAGAGUGAAAAUCAUAAGUUAUGGUAUGCUAAAGAAGUCCUAUAGAAUCGUAACGGAGUAAAUGGCAAUAAAAGUAAAGGGAAUGGGGGAGGGGGGAGGGGGCGGCCGGUUCCUGUAAUGUAACAACAGGAUCUAGCGUCCUACAUUUAGAUGUAUCCAGGAGAAAAAUUUAGACGGUGGAAAAUGAACACAACUAUCAAUUACUGAGACUAGACAAGCAUCAACGUAGCAAGAUUUAGCUACCUGAUGAUUACAAAGAAGGAAGUACACAUAUAUAUGUACAUGGAAAACAAGCACGAACGAAGCACGAACGAACGUGCCGAUAACCGGAAAAAUAUCCUCGACUUAAACAGGCGAACCUAGACCCUACGAAACUUGCGUGCCCUGGGGUCUCUCUCCUUACCGAAAUUAGCUCAUUAUAUUUACUUCAAGUAGCCAUCAUGUACUUGUGUGUGUGGCUUUUUGCCGACUAUCUAUCAAUCAUCUGUUAAUAACAAUUUGGUUGCCGCAUUGUUGAAGAUGUACCAAUUAUCUUCAAACACUAUUUACGCCCAUAUACAUAUACAUACACUUGGUUUAUGUAUAUUUAACUGAUUAUAUAAAAUACUGUAAUGAACGGAGGAUAUGCCCCUAUGCAUAGCUUUGUCUUACGGCCGGCUCCUCUUAGGCGUAGUAUAUUGCUUUCUAUUAUGAUAAUUAUUAUUUUAAAUUACAUUAUUAAAUCGUUGUUGAUUAUGUUUCGAUGUUAAAUGUUUUCUAUAUAACAUGCACCCUCUCAAAUUGAUUCAGCUGCGUGACCGCAUCAAUCGCGGGAAAAUUCAUCCUCCAAUGUAUUCCAGCUUGGCAUGCCCGGGCCACCAAAUUUGAUUAUUUCAGCGUAGAUUUCCUGUUCCAUUCUAAUUAAAUAAGUUUAAUGCAUUUUAGAACUUUUUCUAUUCAAUAUUCCCUAUGACGAUGAUUCGGAAUACAAGCGCUGUAAACCUUCGUUCCGCUUACAGUACUCGCAUCAUUGCCCCAUUCAUGUCUUUAAUAUUUUUCUCCUUGACGUAGAAUAAAGGACUGGCAUGCUUUUAAUGGCGAAAGUCUUCCUUCAAAAAAAAAAAGCUGCUUCUUAAGGGUUGUUUUGUUAUCAUCGCUGCUUGUUUUUUUAAAUAUACGUAUAUUUUAUCUAAAACGGAUGAUUUUAGCUGAUGAUAUAUGGUAAGUACGUAGAUCAAGUGAAGCGGGUAGUGCCGCUGCUGCAAUGAAGCGCAUUUAAAUAGAUCCGACGACUAUUAUGAUAAUGGCUUGAUCGCAUAAAUGGUCAGAUGAGAUUAAACAAAAUACGCGCAUACAAAAUAUGGCGCAACGUACGUGUUCGGAAUAGACAGAUUGCAAAGAUAACAUUAGAUAUUAGAAGCUGACAAGACCGACUAAUAAUCAUUGGAUAACUUAUAGCAGUAAUAGUAUUGAUGACGUUAAAAUGUACACUGUGUUCAUGUAAGUCUCGCUCAUAGUUUUCGUGCGUUAAAACUUCACCCUUUGUUUGUUUGUUUGUUGAUAGUCUAAAAAGAAAUGCCGUGCGACAUGAUCCCGUAUAGAAUUAUAACACGGUCGACCAGAAUUUUUCCAAUUAUUUAAACAACGAGUACUUGGAUGGGGCAACAGGAAGGACGAAUCCAAUUGACUACGAGAUUGCGUCGGAUUGCACUUGUAAAUAACAUUAGCGAUAAAAAGCGGUCGCUAUGUCGCUGCAUCUACGAAUACUAAUAACAGGAAGAAUUUCGAAAUCGAUAAAUAGAAAAUAAUUUCAAAUAUCUAAUCGAAAGCAAAAUGUCGAAAGAGGUUAUUAUUAUCAAUUAGAUAGCAGAUAACUGCAAAGCACAGAAUAAAUAAAAUGCGAGAUGCUAU